rfam:Zea mays cultivar B73 chromosome 1, whole genome shotgun sequence.
AUACCUUUCUCAGCCUUUUGGCUGAGAUAAAGUGUAAUAUUUGGUCUUAUCGGUUUAAUAUCUGGUAUGUAGACCAUAUGUUCACUUUGAUAUUAAAUUUAUUUUUGAUGGAUGUUUUUUUGUGUGUGGAGGGUCCACCACACUGAUUUAGUGGGUCAGUCGCAAAGCACGAGCAUUAUACUAGUGCAUCUUAA